ACCUGGGAUAGCUCAGUUGGUAAGAGCAUAAAAACUCUUGAUCUCAGGGUCGUGGGUUCGACCCCCGUGUUGGGCA